GACGAACGCUGGCGGCGUGCCUAAUACAUGCAAGUCGAACGCAGUGGGGACGGGUGAGUAACACGUGGGUAACCUCCCAUCAGAGGGGAUAACACUUGGAAACAGGUUCUAAACCGCUACUGAUGUAUGGCCCCGCGGUGCAUUAGCUAGGUGGUGAGGUAACGGCUCCCCAAGGCCACGAUGCAUAGCCGAGCUGAGAGGGUGAUCGGCCACACUGGGACGUAGACACGGGCCAGACGCAUACGGGAGGCAGCAGUAGGGAAUCUUCGGCAAUGGACGAAAGUCUGACCGAGCAACGCCGCGUGAGUGAAGAAGGUUUUCGGAUCGUAAAACUCUGUUGUUAGAGAAGCGGUAUCUAAACAGAAAGCCACGGCUAACUACGUGCCAGCAGCCGCGGUAAUAC
rnacentral:rRNA from 1 species